UACAGAGGUCCCAAGCGUUGUUCGGAUUCAUUGGGCGUAAAGGGCGCGUAGGCGGGUGCUCAAGUCCGUGGUGAAAUCCUCCGGCUCAACCGGAGAACUGCCUCGGAUACUGGGUGCCUCGAGGGUGGUAGGGGUAUGCGGAACUAUCGGUGGAGCGGUGAAAUGCGUUGAUAUCGAUAGGAACUCCGGUGGCGAAGGCGGCAUACUGGACCACCUCUGACGCUGAGGCGCGAAAGCCAGGGGAGCAAACGGG
rnacentral:rRNA from 1 species